rnacentral:lncRNA from 10 species
GCCCAGGAGUUCAAGACCAGCCUGAGCAACAUGGCAAGACCCUGUCUCUACAAAAAAAAAAAAAACAUUAAAAAAUAGCCUGGCAGGGUGGUGCAUGCCUGUGAUUCCAUCUACUCAGGAGGCUGAGGCGGGAGGAUUAUUUGAGCCCAAGAGACCCAGAAGCCACUUGCUCCACAUCUGCAGUUACAAGGCAGAACAAAUUUGCCAGAACCAAGCUACAGAGAGAAAGCAAAAGCUGUUGGACCUCUUAUAGACGGUGACUGGAAUCAUCACAGUGACCCGUUACCACCUUCUCUUGUUCAAGGUGCUGGUAACAAUAAUAGAGAACCAUCCAUAUCCACAAGAGGCAGAACCUCUUCCAGCAAAAUGGUGCUGCCUCACCCAAAGGUAUCACUAAGCAUAUAGAUUAUAGAAGCCUGAGAUGGUGAGUGGAAUCUGAAAAUGAAAUCUAACAUUUACCAAAGAUACAGAGAAGGAGGAAGAGACUGGAUUCGUUGUUCCGGCCCCUGAGUCUAGUCAGUCAGUUCUACUCUUGGGCUUUGUAGUUCUGUUCAUCAGUGAACUCUUCUGUUUUGUUGAAACCAGUUGGAGAAGGGUUUCCAGAAACCUGCACUUGAAGAGCAUCAGCUGGCACAGAGAUCUUGGCUGAACCCACUGCUGUGUUUGACUAGGAAUGAGAGUGGGCACACGGAGAGGGCAGCCCACCAGGCAGGUGUGUCUCACAUCACUGGGGAGCCCUUUUCAUUCAAAGAUGACCAGCUUAUAAAAGAUCAGUGAUGGGAAGUCCCAGGUAGGGCCCCCAGGACCUACAGCAGGGGCCAGCAAAGAAUGGUCAGCCGUCUCUCUACUGGGUCAG